GUACUAGACCCCAGAUGAGGAUCUCGGGAAGAUCCACAAAGCUGCGUCCAGGGGAGCGAACCUGUGGAAGCUGCAGCGGAGCCUCCUGCUCAAGAGUAAAGGACCGGUCUGAAACCUCCAAGAACAGGGUCUCCCUGUGUUGCCCAGGCUGGUCUUGAAGUAUUGAGCCCAAGUGAUCCUCCUGGCUCAGCCUCCCAAAGU
rnacentral:lncRNA from 1 species